rnacentral:rRNA from 1 species
UGAUGACGAGUCGUCUUUUAGAUGACGAAGUGGUUGAUGCCAUGCUUCCAAGAAAAGCUUCUAAGCUUCAGGUAACCAGGAACCGUACCCCAAACCGACACAGGUGGUCGGGUAGAGAAUACCAAGGCGCUUGAGAGAACUCGGGUGAAGGAACUAGGCAAAAUGGCACCGUAACUUCGGGAGAAGGUGCGCCGGCUAGGGUGAAGGAUUUACUCCGUAAGCUCUGGCUGGUCGAAGAUACCAGGCCGCUGCGACUGUUUAUUAAAAACACAGCACUCUGCAAACACGAAAGUGGACGUAUAGGGUGUGACGCCUGCCCGGUGCCGGAAGGUUAAUUGAUGGGGUUAGCGCAAGCGAAGCUCUUGAUCGAAGCCCCGGUAAACGGCGGCCGUAACUAUAACGGUCCUAAGGUAGCGAAAUUCCUUGUCGGGUAAGUUCCGACCUGCACGAAUGGCGUAACGAUGGCGGCGCUGUCUCCACCCGAGACUCAGUGAAAUUGAAAUCGCUGUGAAGAUGCAGUGUAUCCGCGGCUAGACGGAAAGACCCCGUGAACCUUUACUGUAGCUUUGCACUGGACUUUGAGCCUGCUUGUGUAGGAUAGGUGGGAGGCUUUGAAGCGUGGACGCCAGUUCGCGUGGAGCCAUCCUUGAAAUACCACCCUGGCAUGCUUGAGGUUCUAACUCUGGUCCGUGAUCCGGAUCGAGGACAGUGUAUGGUGGGCAGUUUGACUGGGGCGGUCUCCUCCUAAAGAGUAACGGAGGAGUACGAAGGUGCGCUCAGACCGGUCGGAAAUCGGUCGCAGAGUAUAAAGGCAAAAGCGCGCUUGACUGCGAGACAGACACGUCGAGCAGGUACGAAAGUAGGUCUUAGUGAUCCGGUGGUUCUGUAUGGAAGGGCCAUCGCUCAACGGAUAAAAGGUACUCCGGGGAUAACAGGCUGAUACCGCCCAAGAGUUCAUAUCGACGGCGGUGUUUGGCACCUCGAUGUCGGCUCAUCACAUCCUGGGGCUGAAGCCGGUCCCAAGGGUAUGGCUGUUCGCCAUUUAAAGUGGUACGCGAGCUGGGUUUAGAACGUCGUGAGACAGUUCGGUCCCUAUCUGCCGUGGACGUUUGAGAUUUGAGAGGGGCUGCUCCUAGUACGAGAGGACCGGAGUGGACGAACCUCUGGUGUUCCGGUUGUCACGCCAGUGGCAUUGCCGGGUAGCUAUGUUCGGAAAAGAUAACCGCUGAAAGCAUCUAAGCGGGAAACUUGCCUCAAGAUGAGAUCUCACUGGGAACUUGAUUCCCCUGAAGGGCCGUCGAAGACUACGACGUUGAUAGGCUGGGUGUGUAAGCGUUGUGAGGCGUUGAGCUAACCAGUACUAAUUGCCCGUGAGGCUUGACC